UAACUGUGCAAAGGUAGCAUAAUCAAUAGUUUUUUAAUUGAAGGCUUGUAUGAAAGGUUGGACAAAGAAUAAUCUGUUUUUAUUUUUUUUUUUGAAUUUGACAUCUGAGUGAAAAGGCUUAGGUGGAUUUGGGGGACGAUAAGACCCUAUAAAUCUUUAUAUUAAAUUAUUUUUUUGCGUGUUAAUUUGGUAAAUGAAACAAUAAGAUGAAAAAUAUUUUGUUGGGGCGACGAGAAUAUAAAAUCUAACUGUUUUAGAAUUUAAACAAAAUUAUUUGAGUGUUUAAUAGAUCCUUUGUAUAGAUUAAAAAAUUAAGUUACUUUAGGGAUAACAGCGUUAUUUUUCUUGAGAGUUCAUAUCGAAAGAAAAGUUUGCGACCUCGAUGUUGAAUUAAAAUUUCUUUAUAGUGCAGAAGCUAUAGUAGAGAGUCUGUUCGACUUUUAAAUUUUUACG
rnacentral:rRNA from 1 species